rnacentral:rRNA from 1 species
GGCAGAGGGGGCAAGCGUUGCUCGGAAUCACUGGGCGUAAAGGGCGCGUAGGCGGGAUGGCAAGUCAGUCGUGAAAUCUCUCGGCUCAACCGAGAAACGUCGGCUGAUACUGCCGUUCUUGAGGGAUGCAGAGGAGACUGGAAUUCCCGGUGUAGCGGUGAAAUGUGUAGAGAUCGGGAGGAACACCGGUGGCGAAGGCGGGUCUCUGGGCAUUUCCUGACGCUGAGGCGCGAAAGCGUGGGGAGCAAACGGG